AACUCACCUUGGCUGUGGUGAGUCCAUAGAAGACCGGGGAGUGUGUGCUGGCGCUGUACUGGGACCACUGGGUGCUCACCGAGCCGCUAUCUGUCCACUCCGCACUGGGAGGACUGGGCUGCUCAGCUUCAUACUCUACAAAAACACACACCAAAAAAAAAGCUCUCCUCGCAGGAUGCCAAGCCUCUGCUCCAGCAGAGAGGACACCCACAGUCCCAGGCUCUCCCUGUUGGUCUGAGUGUGUAGCUGCUCCCUCAGGGUGCCGUAGAGACCCAGAACGUCUCCAUGAUGCUGCUCCUGCUUCUCGUCACCUUGCUGGACCUGUGUCCACAGCAGCGCCAGCUGCUGCUCCACACGUUCAAGGCGUUCCAAAUCCACAGUGGAGACUGCCGCUGUUGGAAGGAUUGGCUGAGGAGGAGAAUCAAGGAGCGAACAGAGAGGAGGAUAAUGGUGGAAAUUAGGAGAAAAAAGCUACAAAGACACAUUAUGGCAUGUAACUCUUACUGUGUUUGUGUGCAUUUGUAAAAAAGGGAAAAAGUAGCGUGGUCAUUAAAAAGUCUAAAGUUGAAAA